GAUGAACGCUGGCGGCGUGCCUAAUACAUGCAAGUCGAAUGAAACUUCUUUAUCACCGAGUGCUUGCACUCACCGAUAAAGAGUUGAGUGGCGAACGGGUGAGUAACACGUGGGCAACCUGCCCAAAAGAGGGGGAUAACACUUGGAAACAGGUGCUAAUACCGCAUAACCAUAGUUACCGCAUGGUAACUAUGUAAAAGGUGGCUAUACUACCGCUUUUGGAUGGGCCCGCGGCGCAUUAGCUAGUUGGUAGGGUAAAGGCUUACCAAGGCAAUGAUGCGUAGCCGAAUUGAGAGGUUGAUCGGCCACAUUGGGACUGAGACACGGCCCAAACUCCUACGGGAGGCAGCAGUAGGGAAUCUUCCACAAUGGGCGAAAGCCUGAUGGAGCAACGCCGCGUGGGUGAAGAAGGUCUUCGGAUCGUAAAACCCUGUUGUUAGAGAAGAAAGUGCGUGAGAGUAACUGUUCACGUUUCGACGGUAUCUAACCAGAAAGCCACGGCUAACUACGUG
rnacentral:rRNA from 1 species